GCUGCUUCUACAAGAUAUAUUUCUACCCAUCUGGUCAGCAAAUCUACUUCCUACGUUGUUCCAUCUUCACUUAAUCUUUAAGGGUCAACAAGUUUGCUUCUAUAAUAUAUAUGCAGGUUGCAAAGUUGGAAGGAUGUUACUACAACCAUUGGAAUAAUCCUCAAAUUCCAACAAUUGGAAUUACAGAAACAUUGUCUAUAGCAUUGGAGUGCAAUAUUACUGGCAUUGGAGGUGUGCUUAGGAACUAUUAUGGUCUAUUUCUUUGUAAGUUUUCUUAUCCUGUUGCUGUCAUGGACUCUGACAAAGCAGAACUGUUAGCUGUGCUUAAAGAUCUUUCUCUCUCUUUUUCAUUGCUGUGGGCCAAAGACUUCAGUAUCAAAGUGGAAUCCGAUUCUAUGAAUGUUGUUUCAUGACUUUCAUAUUCAAUGGAGUGUCCCUGGGAAUUUUGUGCUUGUUUUAAUGAGAUUGCAAAUUUAGUUUCUUUAUUUAGAGAAGUUAUAUUCUCUCAUGCUCUUAGAGAAGUUAAUUCAAUUGCUGAUGGUUUUGCAAAGUAAAUUGUCCAUCGAACCGUUGAUUUUCAAGCUUGGAUUUAGUUGUUUUCAUUGUUUCUGUUAUUUAAUCAUUUGACUGAAAUUUCAGGUGACAACUUUGUAAUAGAACUUCUAAGGCUUCAAGUUACAGGGGUUGUCUUCUAGUUUUCUCUACGGUCAGAAGUUUGUUGCUAAAUUCCUGUAUUUUUUUUUAAUUGUUUUGUUGUAUUUUGUUUCUCCAGGUUUUUUCACUUAGCAUAUUUUUGCUUAGUUUUGGGUGUAUUGGGAAGGUCUGUUGACCUGAGUUUUAGUUAGCAAAUUUAUGCUAAGUUUUUCCUGGAUUUUAUUAUAAAUAAAAUUAUUUGAUUUAUAUAUAUGUAUAUACAAACUCCAAGAUCGCACCUAGCCUAGUUAGGUCCAGUGGCUCAUUUGCAGAACAAGGUUCAAGUCCUACUCCCCAAAUUCCCCUACUUAAAAAAAAAGCAUUUUUAUCAUUGUCCCCUUCAGUGGCUUCUUCCUUACCUACAAAUGAAAUAGUUUGGUUCAUUCUCCUGCUAAUGAAUUGUUUCUCUGUUAUAAGACCAUAAAGAGCUUUGAGAAGAAAAGGACUACCUCCUUCAUCGAAGUAUUCCUAGCCAUGACAUCAAAGCUUCAUUGGAGAAAUCAUUCAGCAAGUCAUAUGCAUCACAAACAGCUUCUUGAAGCUUUCCAAGCCGAUCUUUGACUUGAUGGUUAUGCUCUUGUUGCUCUUUUGUAUCAAGAAGAACAGCCCCGAAUAGUUGACGCUGUUGUCAAGCUUGACAAGUUCAUCUCUAAAUCCCAAAAAUGCACAAUCUCUUGGAGAGCGAGGGAACCAACUUUUCCAAUGAUUCCCUCUGCAAUGAAAAAGAGGAUUCCUUCGGCCAUUAUUAGGGUCAGCAGGAUUCAAUUCAAACUAUGUCAAAAGUCCGCG
rnacentral:misc_RNA from 1 species